UCGGUGAAGUGUUCGGAUUGCGGCGACGUGGGCGGUUCGCUGCCCGCGACGUUGUGAGAAGUCCACUGAACCUUAUCAUUUAGAGGAAGGAGAAGUCGUAACAAGGUUUCCGUAGGUGAACCUGCGGAAGGAUCAUUG
rnacentral:rRNA from 2 species